rnacentral:rRNA from 1 species
AUUGAACGCUGGCGGCAGGCCUAACACAUGCAAGUCGAGCGGCAGCGGGAAAGUAGCUUGCUACUUUUGCCGGCGAGCGGCGGACGGGUGAGUAAUGCCUGGGAAAUUGCCCAGUCGAGGGGGAUAACAGUUGGAAACGACUGCUAAUACCGCAUACGCCCUACGGGGGAAAGCAGGGGACCUUCGGGCCUUGCGCGAUUGGAUAUGCCCGGGUGGGAUUAGCUAGUUGGUGAGGUAAUGGCUCACCAAGGCGACGAUCCCUAGCUGGUCUGGGAGGAUGAUCAGCCACACUGGAACUGAGACACGGUCCAGACUCCUACGGGAGGCAGCAGUGGGGAAUAUUGCACAAUGGGGGAAACCCUGAUGCAGCCAUGCCGCGUGUGUGAAGAAGGCCUUCGGGUUGUAAAGCACUUUCAGCGAGGAGGAAAGGUUGUUGGCUAAUAUCCAACAGCUGUGACGUUACUCGCAGAAGAAGCACCGGCUAACUCCGUGCCAGCCGCCGCCGUAAAAC